rnacentral:rRNA from 1 species
UUAAGCGACUAAGCGUACACGGUGGAUGCCCUGGCAGUCAGAGGCGAUGAAGGACGUGCUAAUCUGCGAAAAGCGUCGGUAAGGUGAUAUGAACCGUUAUAACCGGCGAUGUCCGAAUGGGGAAACCCAGUGCAAUUCGUUGCACUAUCGUUAACUGAAUACAUAGGUUAACGAGGCGAACCGGGGGAACUGAAACAUCUAAGUACCCCGAGGAAAAGAAAUCAACCGAGAUUCCCCCAGUAGCGGCGAGCGAACGGGGAGCAGCCCAGAGUCUGAAUCAGCUUGUGUGUUAGUGGAACGGUCUGGAAAGUCCGACGGUACAGGGUGAUAGUCCCGUACACCAAAAUGCACAGGUUGUGAACUCGAAGAGUAGGGCGGGACACGUGGUAUCCUGUCUGAAUAUGGGGGGACCAUCCUCCAAGGCUAAAUACUCCUGACUGACCGAUAGUGAACCAGUACCGUGAGGGAAAGGCGAAAAGAACCCCGGCGAGGGGAGUGAAAAAGAACCUGAAACCGUGUACGUACAAGCAGUGGGAGCACCUUCGGGUGUGACUGCGUACCUUUUGUAUAAUGGGUCAGCGACUUAUAUUCUGUAGCAAGGUUAACCGUAUAGGGGAGCCGCAGGGAAACCGAGUCUUAACUGGGCGUUAAGUUGCAGGGUAUAGACCCGAAACCCGGUGAUCUAGCCAUGGGCAGGUUGAAGGUUGGGUAACACUAACUGGAGGACCGAACCGACUAAUGUUGAAAAAUUAGCGGAUGACUUGUGGCUGGGGGUGAAAGGCCAAUCAAACCGGGAGAUAGCUGGUUCUCCCCGAAAGCUAUUUAGGUAGCGCCUCGUGAAUUCAUCUUCGGGGGUAGAGCACUGUUUCGGCUAGGGGGUCAUCCCGACUUACCAACCCGAUGCAAACUACGAAUACCGAAGAAUGUUAUCACGGGAGACACACGGCGGGUGCUAACGUCCGUCGUGAAGAGGGAAACAACCCAGACCGCCAGCUAAGGUCCCAAAGUCAUGGUUAAGUGGGAAACGAUGUGGGAAGGCACAGACAGCCAGGAUGUUGGCUUAGAAGCAGCCAUCAUUUAAAGAAAGCGUAAUAGCUCACUGGUCGAGUCGGCCUGCGCGGAAGAUGUAACGGGGCUAAACCAUGCACCGAAGCUGCGGCAGCGACACUAUGUGUUGUUGGGUAGGGGAGCGUUCUGUAAGCCUGCGAAGGUGACCUGUGAGGGUUGCUGGAGGUAUCAGAAGUGCGAAUGCUGACAUAAGUAACGAUAAAGCGGGUGAAAAGCCCGCUCGCCGGAAGACCAAGGGUUCCUGUCCAACGUUAAUCGGGGCAGGGUGAGUCGACCCCUAAGGCGAGGCCGAAAGGCGUAGUCGAUGGGAAACAGGUUAAUAUUCCUGUACUUGGUGUUACUGCGAAGGGGGGACGGAGAAGGCUAUGUUAGCCGGGCGACGGUUGUCCCGGUUUAAGCAUGUAGGCUGGUUAUCCAGGCAAAUCCGGAUAAUCAAGGCUGAGGUGUGAUGACGAGGCACUACGGUGCUGAAGUAACAAAUGCCCUGCUUCCAGGAAAAGCCUCUAAGCAUCAGGUAACAUCAAAUCGUACCCCAAACCGACACAGGUGGUCAGGUAGAGAAUACCAAGGCGCUUGAGAGAACUCGGGUGAAGGAACUAGGCAAAAUGGUGCCGUAACUUCGGGAGAAGGCACGCUGGUGUGUAGGUGAAGCCCCUGCGGGUGGAGCUGAGACCAGUCGAAGAUACCAGCUGGCUGCAACUGUUUAUUAAAAACACAGCACUGUGCAAACACGAAAGUGGACGUAUACGGUGUGACGCCUGCCCGGUGCCGGAAGGUUAAUUGAUGGGGUUAUCCGUAAGGAGAAGCUCUUGAUCGAAGCCCCGGUAAACGGCGGCCGUAACUAUAACGGUCCUAAGGUAGCGAAAUUCCUUGUCGGGUAAGUUCCGACCUGCACGAAUGGCGUAAUGAUGGCCAGGCUGUCUCCACCCGAGACUCAGUGAAAUUGAACUCGCUGUGAAGAUGCAGUGUACCCGCGGCAAGACGGAAAGACCCCGUGAACCUUUACUAUAGCUUGACACUGAACAUUGAGCCUUGAUGUGUAGGAUAGGUGGGAGGCUUUGAAGCGUGGACGCCAGUCUGCGUGGAGCCAACCUUGAAAUACCACCCUUUAAUGUUUGAUGUUCUAACGUUGGCCCCUUAUCGGGGUUGCGGACAGUGUCUGGUGGGUAGUUUGACUGGGGCGGUCUCCUCCCAAAGCGUAACGGAGGAGCACGAAGGUUAGCUAAUCCUGGUCGGACAUCAGGAGGUUAGUGCAAUGGCAUAAGCUAGCUUGACUGCGAGCGUGACGGCGCGAGCAGGUGCGAAAGCAGGUCAUAGUGAUCCGGUGGUUCUGAAUGGAAGGGCCAUCGCUCAACGGAUAAAAGGUACUCCGGGGAUAACAGGCUGAUACCGCCCAAGAGUUCAUAUCGACGGCGGUGUUUGGCACCUCGAUGUCGGCUCAUCACAUCCUGGGGCUGAAGUAGGUCCCAAGGGUAUGGCUGUUCGCCAUUUAAAGUGGUACGCGAGCUGGGUUUAGAACGUCGUGAGACAGUUCGGUCCCUAUCUGCCGUGGGCGCUGGAGAAUUGAGGGGGGCUGCUCCUAGUACGAGAGGACCGGAGUGGACGCAUCACUGGUGUUCGGGUUGUCAUGCCAAUGGCACUGCCCGGUAGCUAAAUGCGGAAGAGAUAAGUGCUGAAAGCAUCUAAGCACGAAACUUGCCCCGAGAUGAGUUCUCCCUGAGACUUUAAGUCUCCUGAAGGAACGUUAAAGACGAUGACGUUGAUAGGCCGGGUGUGUAAGCGCAGCGAUGCGUUGAGCUAACCGGUACUAAUGAACCGUGAGGCUUAACCUU